UACAGAGGCCUCAAGCGUUGUUCGGAUUCAUUGGGCGUAAAGGGCGCGCAGGCGGCUCAUUUUGUCAGGCGUGAAAGCCCCGGGCUUAACCUGGGAACUGCGUUUGAUACGGAUGGGCUAGAGUUCGGGAGAGGAGAGUGGAAUUCCCAGUGUAGAGGUGAAAUUCGUAGAUAUUGGGAAGAACACCGGUGGCGAAGGCGGCUCUCUGGACCGAGACUGACGCUGAGGCGCGAAAGCGUGGGGAGCGAACAGG
rnacentral:rRNA from 1 species